UAACCGGCUUUAUUAAAAGCCACCAUAUCACAAAAAGAUCUCU
rfam:Amphimedon queenslandica AMPQTscaffold_13488_Cont1376, whole genome shotgun sequence.